UGCCAGCAGCCGCGGUAAUACGGAGGGUGCAAGCGUUGUCCGGAUUUAUUGGGUUUAAAGGGUGCGUAGGCGGGCCUAUAAGUCAGUGGUGAAAUACUUCGGCUCAACCGGAGAGGUGCCAUAGAUACUGUAGGUCUUGAGUGAAGUUGAAGUAGGCGGAAUUGAUGGUGUAGCGGUGAAAUGCAUAGAUAUCAUCAAGAACACCGAUAGCGAAGGCAGCUUACUUAGUUUCAACUGACGCUGAUGCACGAAAGCGUGGGGAGCGAACAGGAUUAGAUA
rnacentral:rRNA from 1 species